AAAACAAGUGCUAUACCAAAUAGCCGACAUCUAUUUUGCUUUCCGAGUAGUGCCACAUCAAUGUGGCACUUUUUUGCCUUA
rfam:Haemophilus pittmaniae HK 85 ctg1129913985429, whole genome shotgun sequence.